UGAUUUUAUAGUGAAGCAGUAAAAUUCUGCGGUAGUUGGAUGUCGCUAUCCUAGUUCGAUGGUGUUUCUCGAAGGACACUGGUGGGCGUCGUUGAUAAGGAUCCUAAAUAUGGAAGGCUUCAGCUUCACUUUGGUCAAAGUAAUAAUUCUGCAAACUUCACUUCGCCGGACUAUAUCCGUAACUAUAAAUUUCUGAAAGGUUUUGCUGGGAUGAAGAGAAACAGUUUUUCCAUCAAACCGCCUUUAAAACAGCAUGAUAGCGACAACAGUUGAUUGACAUAACAGAUAUUAAACGGGUAUGCUACUAAUCGUCAGUAGUAGACCCAGCAAGUCCAUUAUUAUUGAGUGGUGGUGAUUAUAGUCAGUAGUGGACCUUUUGAGUUCAUUAAUAGUGUAAUUGUGGUGGUAGUUAAAAUUACCCGCAGAUUUUAUACCUAGAGAAAUUGACCGGGUUUGUUAAUAAAGGCUUAUAUAAAUUUCUCUUAUCUACGCUAAAUCUGAUGUCUUUCCUUUUGAUCCAACAGCAAUCCUACUAGAUCACUUGUCUAGUUUACUGGAAUGUUUUCUUUACCGCAAGAUUAUAUAACUUGCAAUGCAAAGAGCAUCCCGUUCACUGAUUAAAGUUUCUAUGAAUUUAAAUUUGUUUGAGCUAAUGUGAAUUAAAUUUGUUUGAGCUAAUGUGAGGUAUUACUAAUAUCUUCGAUUUAUUGAAGUUUCUAUUUGUCAAAUCACUAGCAAUUUGAGGUAUUGCUAAUGUGGUUAUCUUUAAUUUAGAAUGCAUACGUGAACUAUUGAGGCUAAAAAUAAUUAUCAGUUCCUUUUCUCAUUCCGGUGUCAAGGCUUUAAAAUAUUAAAUUUUACUAAGGCAAUGAAGCAUAAAGAGGUAGAUGAAAGGGAAUAGUUAAAUAAGUAAAACUGAAGACUUGCUCAUUCCUUGAUACUGUUUUAUUCUUUGCUUUAAACUGUUAAGUCUUGAAAGUGGUUAAAAUGAAUCUUGAAAGUGGUGAAAAUGUGUUUAAAUUUGAGUGGGAAAAUAAAUUAGCCAUUAAAAUUCUGUAAAAGUUUGCCAUUAGAAUGAAGUAACUGCAGAUAAGCUCCUGGAACCCCUCCCAUGGUUCUAUGGUUAUCUGCAGAGCACGUAACAUUUCCUGGAAGACCUAGUUGCUAGGCAAACAGAGCCAACGUCUGUUCCCGUUAUUAAAUCUAUGCAUCUAGCUUUCUUAAAUGCCUGCUAAUCCUGUUAAAUUUUCUUAGGGUUGGGGCUAAAUUUUCGAUUGCUAGAAUAGAAACUGGUUAAUUAAUACGAAAUGAUUUAACGCAUUGCUCGAGUAGGUCUAUUAGGGUUUAAAUCUUGAGCUGCUGGGACUCACUGCAGGGUGACCAGACUUCCCGUAUUUGACGGGAUUGUCCCGUAUCGACCCUCCCCGGGACGCAUUUUGUCCCGUAUUUUCAAUAUCUUAAAAAAAAAUAAAUAAACUAGCGAAAUUUGUACUGCGCAUCCCCUCUUCAAACGCUCAAGUGGAGCGAGUGUUACCUCUGAUGGGCCAUCGAUGGGGUGGGUGUAGGAACCGGUGCAGUGUUUAGAUGAUAGUCAGAACUACAGAAAGUGCAAUUUCACACUGUCCUGUUCGGAGUUCAU